CUAAUUCCGCUGCGGCCAUGGCUCCAGUGAAAAAACUUGUGGCGAAGGGGGGCAAAAAAAAGAAGCAGGUUCUGAAGUUCACUCUUGAUUGCACCCACCCUGUAGAAGAUGGAAUCAUGGAUGCUGCCAAUUUUGAGCAGUUUUUGCAAGAAAGGAUCAAAGUGAACGGAAAAGCUGGGAACCUUGGUGGAGGGGUGGUGACCAUCGAAAGGAGCAAGAGCAAGAUCACCGUGACAUCUGAGGUGCCUUUCUCCAAAAGGGAAAAGUGGACAGUUGAAUUGACAUCUUCACACUUGGUGGUGAUUGCUUUGUUGGUGUGGAGAUUGCUUUGUUGGUGUGGAGCACUGUCACAGUGCUCCUUUUUUGGAGAUGGUAUUUGAAAUAUCUCACCAAAAAAUAUUUGAAGAAGAAUAAUCUACGUGACUGGUUGCGCGUAGUUGCUAACAGCAAAGAGAGUUAAGAAUUACGUUACUUCCAGAUUAACCAGGACGAAGAAGAGGAGGAAGAUGAGGAUUAAAUUUCAUUUAUCCGGAAUAUUUUGUAUGAGUUCUUGAAUAAAACUUGGGAACCAAAAAAAAAAAAAAAAAAAAAAA